UUACGACCAUAUCACUUUGAAACAUCGGUUCCUUUACGAUCAACGAAGUUAAGAAACGUCGAGUCUGGUCUGUACGUAGAUGGGUGACCACUUGGAAAUACCGGGUGCUGUAA